UGACUGGCCUUUCAAACCCUUUUCCUGUGACUAGGAGGGCUCAUGAAAAAGUACCUGGGCUCCUGAGUCCUUUCCUAUUGCUCCAUAGGCUCUUGAUACUCCCCAGACUACUGCUGGCUGUAUCAGCCCAUGUAAAACACCUGCAGUGGGUAGCAGUAUGUGGAUGGUGUGAGGCUUGGAACUCCUGGUACAAACCCCAGCACUCCUUGCCCAGUAGUUCCAUGUCCUUAGUAUCAGAGGAGGCCAGAAUCCAGAACUUCACAAGGAUCCAUCACCAGAAGGUCCAACAGAAGGUGUUUGGUUGGCAGGAGCAUCAUCACUGACACAGCUGAAGCAGAGCGCCUGUCCAUAGAGAGGAUUGAUGGGGAAAUGGGCACCACUGGAAUUUUCCAUAGGAUAUUAAUGAACUAACAAUUCUGUUGUCUAAGAUUUUAUCUGUACUACUGGCUGUGUUACGGCCUAGAAAGUCUCCAGCAGAAGUUGAACAAAACUCCUUCCUACAUGGUACGUUUAUUUCAGUAGUGACUUGUCAUACAGCACAUGAAAACUUUCAGUAUUAUUGUCUGAGCUGGACUUUCUGUAUUGAGGCAGAGUAUUUGAAUUUUCAGGUGUGCUACUUCAGUGUAUCACAA